AUGGUUGACUUGCAGCGCUUCUUUUACGACUUGUAUCAUAACCAGGUGGACCUCUCGGGUAUUAACACGGCUUUCAUCACUCUUUUGCCAAAGAAAGAAACUCCUCUUGACAUACUUGACUACCGGCCUAUUUCUAUGGUCCAUAGUGUGCCAAAGCUUGCAAGCAAGGUUCUCACCCGCAGGUUGCAGCGUCAGAUGCCUGAGUUGAUUCACCCGUUACAGUCUAGUUUUGCUCGGGGCAGAGCUAUUGUGGAGAACUUUGCCAUGGCAGCUGAUAUGAUCCAGAGUGCUCAUAAGCGACGCCUACCUAUGAUUGUGCUGAAGUUGGACUUCAGGAAGCUUUCGAUAGUGUCAGUUGGACAUGCAUUUCCAGUAUCAUGGAAGCAUGGGGCUUCCCCCGGAGAUGGAUCGGCUGGGUCUCUUCUCUUCAGCACACCUCCAGCUCUAGAAUCAUGA
rnacentral:rRNA from 1 species